GAUGAACGCUGGCGGCGUGCCUAAUACAUGCAAGUCGAGCGAACGGACGAGAAGCUUGCUUCUCUGAUGUUAGCGGCGGACGGGUGAGUAACACGUGGAUAACCGACCUAUAAGACUGGGAUAACUUCGUGAAACCGGAGCUAAUACCGGAUAAUAUUUUGAACCGCAUGGUUCAAAAGUAAAAGACGGUCUUGCUGUCACUUAUAGAUGGAUCCGCGCUGCAUUAGCUAGUUGGUAAGGUAACGGCUUACUAAGGCAACGAUGCAUAGCCGACCUGAGAGGCGGUACGUCGACAGUGGGACAGAGACACGGGCCAGACUGCGACGGGGGGCAGCAGCAGAGAACCGUGCGAGACGGGAGUAAGGAUGAUGCCGCAAUGCGGGCAAGGUUAUGAAGGCCUUCGGACGGUAGAAAUGUGUGACUAGGGAAGAUAAUAUGCGUAAGUAACUGAGCAAAUAUUGACGGUACCUGACCAGAAAGCCACGGCUAACUACGUG
rnacentral:rRNA from 1 species